GACGAACGCUGGCGGCGUGCUUAACACAUGCAAGUCGAACGGUGAAGCUCCAGCUUGCUGGAGUGGAUCAGUGGCGAACGGGUGAGUAACACGUGAGCAACCUGCCCCUGACUCUGGAAUAAGCGCUGGAAACGGCGUCUAAUACUGGAUACGAGAAGGGUCCGCAUGGGCACUUUCUGGAAAGUUUUUCGGUUGGGGAUGGGCUCGCGGCCUAUCAGCUUGUUGGUGAGGUAAUGGCUCACCAAGGCGACGACGGGUAGCCGGCCUGAGAGGGCGACCGGCCACACUGGGACUGAGACACGGCCCAGACUCCUACGGGAGGCAGCAGUGGGGAAUAUUGCACAAUGGGCGAAAGCCUGAUGCAGCGACGCCGCGUGAGGGAUGACGGCCUUCGGGUUGUAAACCUCUUUCAGCAGGGAAGAAGCGAAAGUGACGGUACCUGCAGAAGAAGCACCGGCUAACUACGCG
rnacentral:rRNA from 1 species